rnacentral:misc_RNA from 1 species
UCAAACUUGGUCAUUUAGAGGAAGUAAAAGUCGUAACAAGGUAACCGUAGGUGAACCUGCGGUUGGAUCAUUAAUGAAUGGACUUUGUAUAAAGUCUAAACCAGAGUAUCUCCUCUUUUGGAGAGAACUGGGAAUUAAACAAUCUAUUUUUUUUCUUACUUUUAAUUCUUUUUCCUUUUAUUUUUGAAUUUUCAAAAAAUAAAAGAAAAAGAAAAAAAAUAACCAAGAACAACUAUUAACAAUGGAUCUCUUGGCUCUCGCAUCGAUGAAGAACGCAGC